GGAUCAGCUCGGUAUCGGCCUCAGUCCCAGCAUAAAUUGCACUUCGCCUGCACGGAUCGCGCAUGAACAUUCUGCCCAGCAAUCUGGCCAAGUGACCAAGCCGAUUUCGGGAGCAGGGGCCUGGGGCCAGUGUCAUAUGCCCGACACUCGGUGCAGCGAAAUGUAAGGAACGUUCAAAUAAACGCGCAUUUUCCAGAGAAGUAGAAAAACUUCCACCCUCAAAGCGGCACACAGCGCACAAACAUACAGACAGUCGUACAAACACACAGCGAACUAAUACAGACAUGUAAGAAUGCUGCAGUCGUGCAUUUGGUUGGUAAAAUACCCAUCUUAACUGCCGAUUAAGUUAACCAGGAAAGAUUGGAUAAAAACGAGUGCCAUUAGCCCGCUAACGAAGUAUAAAAACUAAAAACCAUCUAAAACACAAGCGAGGAAAAGGGGUGCGAUACCCCCCAACCGAUAUACCCAGCGUGCCCCUGGGCACUGUCACUGUCAUUUGCGUCGCAGCGCUGCCGCCGUCCGCGUCCGCGUCGCUUUGCCUGGCCCAGUGUUUCCGCUUUCUUUCGCCUCGUUGUAAUGUUACUUUUAGUUUGAUGUCGGAGCCUCGACGAGCCGGUCGUAAGCGAAAUCGUAAGCGAGACUUUAGUGCGAUUCCGCUCCGUUCCGCCGGUUGUGUGUGCGUGUUUAGUUCGAGCUGAGGCGAAGCAGAGGCAGAAUCGGAAUCAGAAUCCAGCGGAAUCGAGAAUCAGAA